GAUGAACGCUGGCGGCGUGCCUAAUACAUGCAAGUCGAACGCAUAGCGAAAGGUGCUUGCCCCUUUCAAGUGAGUGGCGAACGGGUGAGUAACACGUGGACAACCUGCCUCAAGGCUGGGGAUAACAUUUGGAAACAGAUGCUAAUACCGAAUAAAACUUAGUGUCGCAUGACACAAAGUUAAAAGGCGCUUCGGCGUCACCUAGAGAUGGAUCCGCGGUGCAUUAGUUAGUUGGUGGGGUAAAGGCCUACCAAGACAAUGAUGCAUAGCCGAGUUGAGAGACUGAUCGGCCACAUUGGGACUGAGACACGGCCCAAACUCCUACGGGAGGCUGCAGUAGGGAAUCUUCCACAACGGGCGAAAGCCUGAUGGAGCAACGCCGCGUGUGUGAUGAAGGCUUUCGGGUCGUAAAGCACUGUUGUAUGGGAAGAACAGCUAGAAUAGGAAAUGAUUUUAGUUUGACGGUACCAUACCAGAAAGGGACGGCUAAAUACGUG
rnacentral:rRNA from 1 species